CUCCGCCAAUGAGAAGCGAGGGGCCAGGAAUGGCAGGUUAGGCUGUGGUGGCCGAGGUUCGUUCCCUUUGGCUCUGGAGUUGCAUCCCGCUUGGCUUCCCCCAAACGAGAAGGGCCGAAGUGGGUUGCUGAUUUCUCCCCCCUUUCCAAGGACGCCUCUUCGUCGCCCUCCAAGAAACCCCCCCCCC